AUUGAACGCUGGCGGCAGGCCUAACACAUGCAAGUCGAGCGCGCGGCGGACGGGAGAGAAAUUCAGGGGAAUUGCCCAGUAGAGGGGGAUAACAGUGGGCAACGACUGAUAAUACCGUAUAAGAUGGGAUUGCCCAGGUGGGAUUAGAUAGUUGGUGGGGUAAUGGCUCACCAAGGGUACCAUCCCUAGCUUGUCUGAGAGGAGGAUCAGCCACACUGUACCGGAGACACGUUCCAGACUCCUACGUGAGUCAGCAGUGGGGAAUAUUGCACAAUGUGGGAAACCCUGAUGCAGCCAUGCCGCGUGUGUGAAGAAGGCCUUCGGGUUGUAAAGCACUUUCAGCGAUGAGGCGUGACUCGCAGAAGAAGCACCGGCUAACUCCGUGCCAGCAGCCGCGGUAAUAC
rnacentral:rRNA from 1 species